UUGGCCCACGUUUGAAGAGCCCAUCAUAUGAAUUGAGUUUUACCCCACGUUGGAAGAGCCCUAAAUAAUCUGAGAGUUGGGAUUCGGGGUACUAAGGGGAAAAAACGAAGGGGGAGGCGGAGACUAGAAGGAAGAGAGAGCAAUGAAAUCGCCUGAGAUGAGGAUAUGUUAGAACUCAAGUACAAGGAAAUGUGGAACGAGAGAUUGAACAAGUACGAGGAGGAGCUCAAAAUGGAGAAAAGUAUGGAGACGCGUGCCCGCACUGAGUUGUCAGGAGACCCUCUUGCGAGAUAGUUGGGUAUCGAACGGAGUUGUUGGUUCCCCAGCAUUUGCAGCCUAUGAUCAAGGGCAUGAUGUUUCCCUAGGAAAUUUCCGGGGGAUUGGUGUCGAGAGGAGCAAGUUGACAAGAAUAUAUCCUCGCUUCGGUACUGGAUGUACUCCAUAAAUGAGCAUGGGACACAGGAUAUACCUGCAAUGAUAGAGAAGAUCCUCCAAACAAAAGUUGCUGAAUUGGAAAAUAGCCAAAAAGCUGUGGAGGAAGAGAGUGGCAAUGAUCAGCCUUACAAACCUUGUGCAUUUUGUCAUAGUUUGGGAGGAGUUGCUAUUCUAAUGUACAUUCUAACACGUCGAAUUGAGGGAAAGCCUAUUGAUCUUAUUAUCGCCUGCUGGGUUUCAUCAUGAUUCCGAUCCUGUAUUCACAAUGAUGGAAUGCUUAUUCCUGCAAUUGUCUCCUCUCCUUGCCCCUUUUGUGUCAGCUUUCUAUAUUCCCACUCGUUUUUUCUGCAUGCUGCUUAACUAGUUGGCCCGAGACUUCCAUAACUUACCAGCAGUUUGAGGUCUUGUGCAAACUCUCAAAGUUAUUUGGUUGGUGGAGAUAGCUCCAAUUGGGGGAGUUCUACUCCCUUAUUGAUAUUCCGGUUGAUCUUGUUGCUGGGCGUAAGGACAAGAUCAUCAGGCCAUCCAUGGUAAGGAAACAUUAUAAGCUGAUGAAGGAUGCAGGUGUGGAGGUGUCAUAUAAUGAGUUUGAGUAUGCUCAUUUGGAUUUUACAUUUUCCCAUCAUGAAGAACUAUUGGCCUAUGUUAUUUCUUGAUUAAUUUUAGUAGGUGCUUCUAUGAAGCAGCAACCCGGCCAGAAAUCAUUGAAGAUCAGGAGAAAAGAGGGCAAACCAGCAACAACCGUUAAAAUGUAGCACUAACAAGAGCUGGACCCGUCUAUAUCUUGAGUGUUUCUUGUUAUACAUGUAUGUCACUUAUACAGAAAAUUAUAGAGAAUGCUUAAUCAGGAUAGGGUACUAGUGGUUACACCAGCCCCUUUGUGACAUUACAAAUCCUACUUCAAAGAAAUAGAAUUGGACUGGAUGUUGUGUCCUGGAGUGUUGGAUGUGGGUUUGUGUAUAUUUUGUCUGUAUAUUAAAGGUGUCCCAUUGUUUUGAAGUUUCAAGGAAAUCAACGAAACUCUUAAAUCUGGUUUCUUAGUAGUCAUCCAUCCCCUCCCUCUUUUUUCACUUUUUUCAAGAAUGACCAUUAUUUCCUCUUCCAAGUGCUUGGUGUUUGCUAUAUUAUUUGAAGC